GUCAUACAUGUGCAUUUGCCCUCAAACUCAAUGAGAAAGUUAGCUUCCUUUAUUUUUUUCAGUUCAUCACCACUGUGCAACAGGAAACACACCCAAGAAUUUCACAUCAAUGUUGAGAUCUAAUACAUAUUGACAAAGCACACAAAAGCUCUACAACCUCUUCUGGGUACCUCUCACAGAUUAUGUCGGUUAACCUCAGAACGUCUUUCUUGGAUCAGAUGAAGCUGCCAGGCCUGAUUGAUCUUAGUCUCAUAUUGAUCCUGACCUCUACUACAAAAGGUCAAACCUGGAAUGUUAGCGUCACUAGACACAUUCAUGCAUUAUUGGGCUCAGACGUGGACAUACCAUGUACAUUUACCUAUCCGCCUGAACACCACACUAAAGAUGUUCAAGUUUACUGGAAAAAGCCAGAGAGAAGUACAUUUAAUAUCAAUGACAACGACAAAAAUGCAUUCGUUUUUCACACGAAUGAGACAUUUGUGGUUGAGAAGUACAAAGGAAAGACCAAACUCACUGGAGAUAAAGUCAAAGGAAACUGUUCCUCAAGAUCCAAAACAUCAUGGAGAAUGAACCAAAUAUCUAUGUGAGAGUUAUCGCAAAGGGUGACAACUACAGUUUCAAGAUGGACUUUGUCUCCAUUUCUGUGUCUGGUGUUACGCCAGUCUCUCUUGACCAAGACAUAAUUGUAAGCAGUACAUCCACCCCAUUAACCACCGCUGGAACAACAAAAAUGGGUAUGACUUCAAUAUAUACGGCCACCUUUGUACCAGUUGCUUUACUACUGAUCAUUAUUUUUGUCGCUGGAAUUGUCUUCUACAUAAAACACAAAAGGUCACAGGCUUUUACCAGGGAGGAAUCUGGAUAUUAUGCAAAUUUUAGCACAGCAUCAUCAAACCAAGCCAAAAGAGAAGCAUUUUGCAAAAACAAGACAACAAGAAACUUCCUGAACUGAAGGCCAUUGAUGAACCUGUCUACAUCAACAUUGAGGCUCCUCCAGGUCAGAUGGAUCAAAGUAUGGAUCACACAGACAAUAUAUAUGCAAAUGUGGAUUAUUCAAAGUAGUAGAAACGCUGCAUCUCACAAAAUCCACUUGGACUUAAACUUCAUUUUAAAGCUAGGGUAGGUAAUGUAUUUCAGAAGCAUUUUUUGCUAUAUGUGUGGAAAUUCUCUUCACAUCCCGACAGCAGUCAAUAAAUCAAAUACUCUGAAAAAAAAUGAAAACAAUCUGGUAUCUGUGGCAGUCGCAGGACUGUAAUAAGCACAUCCAAUCAUUUCAGACCGAAUUAAAUGAUUGGCUGGCCUGCCUGCCUGUCUACCUGCCUACCUGAGCGCACUCUGCCCGUGCACUCUUUGUGCAUGAAAAUGUGUUUUGGGGGAGUGGCUUUGGAGAGAGGCCUGAAGGGAGAGGGUGGGAUUUUAUUGGUUGGAUACUUUCAAAAUCUAGUUGUCCUUGCAAGUUUCUCCAAAGUUACCUACCCUAACUUUAAAUGCUAUUACUGUGUUCUGCAUUGUUUUGCGCACAUGUUCCUGUCUAUGAGCAAACAUGUGUCAUGGUGUGUAGGAUGCAUGACAACAGGAUUAUUUUAUCACAAGGACGAAAGGAUACACAGCUCCCUCUAAGUGACUUUAUCAGAAAGACUACAUGUCAUUGCAAAAUGAAGAACAGCAGAGUUACAAUUUAUUUACUGGCUCAUGGUUGCAGGAAUUGUGAGAGGCUGGUGGUUUGUAAUGCAUGAACUUGCUUGGUUCAUGAUAUAUUUUUUUAGAGAUUAUUGUUUCAGACAAAAAACAUGCUUGUUAUUAGUUUUCAUAGCAUUUUCCUCACCAGUGUUGCAGAGAUUGUGGACAUACUGUCGGGUCAUCUAACUGGGUUAAACAAGUCACAUUUAACGCCAUUAUCAGAGCAGCUUCUGUUACAUUGAAAAAGUUAUUGCUCGAUUUAAUCAUUCCUCCUGUCCAUUCUGGCCAUGAAAAGAUGUCUCUUUACUGUGUAGUGAGACUCCAAUGGGGGCGGGGCCAGAGGGAUGGCCAGGGGUGGUACGGUUCCCCUCUGCAAUUUUAUUGGAAGUUUACAGCAACCAAUAACUCUCCAUUUUACAUGUGGUCAUGUGAGUAUUGUAGAAAGAUAGGCUUGAAAAAAAACAAUCCUUUAAAGCCUGUGUGUCUUACCUAGCCCAGCAUCCCUGGAAAUUACAUUCAUAAUGGACGAUUCCACACCUCAUGAUUUACGUCCAAUAUCAACGUUCGGUUCCUCUGAUUGCUUUUUAUGGUUGCUUUUUGUGGUUUAUAUAUUGCAGUACAAAAAACACUGAGGCUAAAACGUGUUAGUCUGUCAAUGUUAGCGCUGUAUUGCACCACUGAGUGACAGGAAAUUAUAGCAAGCAUUUAGCACAUUGGUUUUGCAAGCUAGUAACAUGCUUUUGCAAGUUUGUAACAUCUCAUGACUAGAGUUCUGUUUUCUGUGGAAUUUAUUAAUGUACUCGUCUAAGCUAGUCAAAAACCUGAGGAGAGAGGGGUCAUAGGCUGUAUAACUUCACUUGACAAAUUUUGGGUUUAGUGAAAUAAUACAUUAUGUUUUUUCUAGUCUUUCUCAAUAUGUUUGCCAAUUUACUUCCUGUGUCAUCUGUGCUGGAGCUGAAACUUCUGUUUUCUUUUCUGAUUUAAUCUCCUAUUUAGUUAUGACUUGUGAUGUGACAUUUAAUUUAUGGAGUGUACCAUAAAUAAAGGGUUAAAAGUG